GGAGAGGUGCCGGAGUGGUUGAACGGGGCGGUCUCGAAAACCGCUGUAUCGCUUACGCGGUACCGUGGGUUCGAAUCCCACCCUCUCCGCCA
rnacentral:tRNA from 1 species